UACGUAGGGGGCAAGCGUUGUCCGGAAUUACUGGGCGUAAAGCGUGCGCAGGCGGCUUCGCAAGUCAGGCGUGAAAUCCCCGGGCUUAACCUGGGAACUGCAUUUGUGACUGCAUGGCUAGAGUGUGUCAGAGGGAGGUGGAAUUCCGCGUGUAGCAGUGAAAUGCGUAGAGAUGCGGAGGAACACCGAUGGCGAAGGCAGCCUCCUGGGAUAACACUGACGCUCAGGCACGAAAGCGUGGGGAGCAAACAGG
rnacentral:rRNA from 1 species